AUCGAACGCUGGCGGCGUGCUUAACACAUGCAAGUCGAACGAGAAAGCCUGCUUCGGUGGGCGAGUAAAGUGGCGCACGGGUGAGUAACGCGUAGGUAACUUGCCUCAGGGAGAGGGACAACCCUUCGAAAGGAGGGCUAAUACCUCAUAAGACCACGUUUCACAAGGGAUGUGGUUAAAGAUGGCCUAUCCAUGGAAGCUGUCACCCUGAGAAAGGCCUGCGUACCAUUAGCUAGUUGGUAGGGUAAUGGCCUACCAAGGCUACGAUGGUUAGCUGAUCUGAGAGGACGAUCAGCCACACUGGAACUGAGAUACGGUCCAGACUCCUACGGGUGGCAG
rnacentral:rRNA from 1 species